UCCCCGGGGACUUCGGGCCGAAGAGAGGACCCCCAUCCUGACUCAGGGGGUAGGAGAGGGAUGGUACACUUUGCCCCUUGCACCCAGCCUCCCUCCAUCCAGCAGCCUUCAUCGCUGCCUCUCAUUUAUUGAUUUGGCUGGGUUUGAGGAGCUCACAAGAUUGGGUCCAUCCAGGGCUCAGGCUUUCCUGCAUGGCCACUAGCUCAAAGCAUCUGCCGCAGUGGAUAAUGUCAUUUAAGGAACCAGAAAAGGAGUUCUAUUAGCAUGGAUUUUUUUCUCUUCUUUCAAUUGUUAUCUUCUCUGGGAAAGCAUGCCCAAUUGGCAGUACAGUCCAGCCAAAAAGAUGCUGGCCUUGCUUUUCUGCAUGUCCAGAGCAGUGCACGACAUCCCACAGAUGACUAGAUGAGAACUGAUGCAUGCAUGAAUGAAUGAAAUGAGAUGUCUUCGGCUUCCUCAUUAUGGUUGGUGUUCCAGCUGGCCUCAAGUAUUUUUGGAUAUGAUACACACAAACAGAUGAACUGGGUCACUGACAUAAGAACUGGUGAGCUUCUUUCUGUCCUAGAAACUUCCCAAAUGCAGCUUAUGGGUUCUAGGGAUUAGAAGGGGCAUUGAAAUCACCUCAUGCACCCUUGUCUGUCACAUCAGUGUUCCCCAAAGCAGCCUGACUGGGGGCUGGACAAGCUCUAUUAAACACCUUUAGGGACAAGCCAUUCAUGCCGUGACCCACAGGUUAGCAAUUUUUAAGUGUUCAUUUCCUUCACGGCACUUAUCACAGGUUGAAAUUACACACUUGCGCAAUUGUUUGAUUAAAGUCUGUCUCCCCACUAGACCUGAAGAACACUGACAAGGUCUGUAAUUAAUUCACAAGAAAAGUCUGUUUGUUCACCUGUAUCUCUAGGGUUGGGCACAGGGCUUAACAUCUAGGAAGUGUUCAAUAAGUAUUUCUGAGUGAAUGAGUCCAAAACAAACGGGAUGGAGGGGAUGCUGUGAUUUGUUAUCAGCAAAGCAGCAAUGAGAACAACAGGUUAAGAUGCCCAGGUACAGAAUUCAUAUCAUACCUGACCACCUGAUGCACUCUCAGUCCAAAGGACAGUAAAGGGGUUAAGGGAGGCUUUAAAGGUAACUGGAUUUGGGGACAAGGUGAAUGCCAACAGCGGCAAAUGUCUGUGGUAGAUUCUUUUUUCUAGACCUUCAUUGUCCAAUAGAGUAGCUAUUAGCCACCUGUGUGGCUACUGAGCACUUGAAAUGUGGCUGGUCUGAAUUGAGAUGCAUUGUAAGUGCACAAUACACACCAGCUUUCAAAUGUUUUCAUGAAAAAAGAACAUAAGAUAUGCCAUUAAUAAUUUUUAUAUUGAUCCAAAAUGUUUUAGCUAUAAUUGGUUAAAUGAAACAUAUUAUUAAAAUUAAUUUCACUUGUUUCUUUUGCUUUUUUUAAAAUGCAGCUACCAUAAAAUUUAGAAUUGUGUAUGUAGCUUGAAUUAUAUUCUAGCUCUGUUCUGGAGGAAAGUCCUCGGAGGAGUUAUUAAUUGGUCGAGAGCCUUCACAUGAAUGCUCACCACUGAAACAGCUCAAGUUCUGUCUGUUCUACAGCCAGCAUUGUGCUGGUACUUCACUACCUAGUUAAACACAGGUUUAACCUUUGACCCAGUAAUUUUAUUUUCAGGAUAUUAUCCUGAAGAAAUCAUCUGAAAUGUGAAAAAAAUUCUUUAUGCACAAAGUUAUUAAAUCUAGCUUAUAUAAUAUGAUUGAAAACCAGGAAAUAAUCAAACAUCUAAAUAGUAGAAGAAUAAUAUUAAAUCUGCAUCAUCCAUACAAUGGAAUAGUAUGCAGUCAUCAAAAACUCUGUUUACAAAUAGUUUAUUAUUACAUGACAAAGUCCUGUGAAACUGCACAAACAAAAAUGCAAAAUUCAAUACUGCAUACACAAUACUACUGCAACUCAAAUGGAAGAGCUCAGAAGGGAGCAAGCAGAAAGAGGCCUAUGCAACUAUUAACCAAUGCUGUCUUUGGAGAAUGAGAUGAUGAAUGAGUUCUCUUUACUUCUUUGUAUAUUUUCAAUUACAUUUUAUUUAAUAAGCUUUUAAUAAAGAGGAUCAUAUCUUGUCUCAAGUGAAAAGGACCAAUCUUAGGAGUUUGCCUCAGUGUUGUAAACAGCUGCAGGUGGGCACACCCAUCAAUCCCGGCUUGCCCCUUUGAGCAUGUGCACUCACAAGGAAGACCCCUUUUUGCCAAAGUGCACCCUUCACAGCUUGUACCUGGUGGGUCAUUCAGUCCCCUAGCCAAGUCAACAUCUCUGCCACUGACUCAGGACUCCGCCUGGAGGGCAGCAGCUGCAGUGUAUCUCCUCUUGUACUUCCCUCCCAGCACAGAGCUGGCACCAGCAGGGGCUCUGCAAGAAUGCUGGCAUCUGUGUUCCUUUCUGCUGCUGGCCCUGUACUGGGCCAGGGGAGGCCCACCUGGACGGCUGUUUCUAGGUGCCACCUUUGCCAUGUAGCUCUGCGGGUUUAUACAAAGUGGAGUCCUGGCCGGAGAGUGGAAGAAAAGAAGGCAGGCCAGUCCUACGCCAUCCCCUGGUCACCUCUCUGUGGACCUGCUGCAGGUCACAGCUCUAAAGAUGCCCCUUACUACAGUCCUUCUGCUUCUGGUCACCACUGUCAUCCCACCGCCUUCAGGCUUCAGGGCCUAAUAGUGCUGUUGCUCAUGUCCUGUGCUUUUUCCUCAUCUCUCCUGUCUCCUUUGCUAACAGCUUCUUUAAGAAAUCCCCCCUGAAUAAUCCUAAUUUGAGUGUGUCCUCUUUCCUGCCAGGACCCUGACUGAACUGACACAGGACUUCAUUGAAAAUGCACCAUACAGUGUUCCUAGAAGAUAGGCACAGAGCACAUUCUGUGUGUGGUGUCCCCAAGCCUUGGGGCAUGGAAGGUAGAGGCUGAGUUCUGGGACCAACAGACCUGAGUUUAAAUUCAGGCUCUACCUGCAUCUAAUAGCCACCAGGUCCUCGAUGCAUCCCUUCACCUCUCCAGGUCUUGCCUUCCUUAUCUGCAAAAUAGGGUAAGGACACCUGCCUUUCACGAGUACUGUGCAGAUGAAAUGAGACGAGCUAUCUAAAUUUCUCAGUGGGUUGCCAGGCAUGCAGCAAAACCCCAGCAAAUAGUAGCUAACACUAUUAUUGCUGUCACCCACUGGGCCGUCAGACGUAUGAAUGCGAAUGUCCCAUCAGACUACCGUCUCCAGAGACACUCUGUGAGAGGGUCUGUACCCUCCCCAUCCCCAUCCUGGGCUGCAGAGACUGCAGGGAAGUCCCCCACACCCAGCUCCACACUCCACAAUAGCCUGUGUAGGCGCCUGCACAAACAUGAGGAGAGGAGCUUAGUCACAGAGCCAGAGGGAGGGGAGGAGAGCCAGCAGGAGAUGAAGUGCAUUUUGAGAAAAGCACUUGUUUAUUUAAAUAUUGUCCUUAUGAAAUGUACCAGAAUGAGAAAUAUGGGCAAUUGUGAUCAAAAGUGAGGGGGAAAGAGGAUAUAAAUUAUCAAAAAUACAGGAAAGAAUUAUGAGACAUUUGAAAUAAAAAUUUGCAUCUUUAAAAUAUCUACUUCAACCUCAGAAUGAGUGUAUCUUUUAAAAGCUCUUUGGAAACACUUCCCUGCUCUCUUUGUCUCUUUUCUUUCUAAGGCAUCUUCUCUUUAACUCCCUUUGGGAAACUUCUUAUAAAUGAGGAUUUGCAUCUCAAGGGAUUACUCUGGUUAGGAAAGUGUUUUAUUAAAAAAUAUAUGUUUGCCACAGAAUGCUGAGGGCUAUAAUUAGCUGGUCCCUUCUGUUUUAUUUUAAAAGACUGUAUGGCCAAGUUCUAAUUAAACAUAUUCUCAGGACGUUUGAAAUGUGAAGGUGCCUCAGAAAUGGGCACCAAAAUGAAAGAAAUGAAGGCAUGGGGAUGUAAUCCAGAAUGCGGACUCUCUGGCCACAGUGUACAUAGCAGCUUAGUCUCACUGCUGUUCCCUAGUACACAGCUACUGUGAUUAGUAAGCCAGUCCCAGCUUAUUGUUGGUGGGAUCCCACCCUGCAUGUGGGAGGCAGAGUCCGGAGCUGGGAUUCUGGGGACCUGAGGGUGUGAUAGGUUAUCAUGUCUAGAGUAAGGGUUGCUAAUUUGGCUGCCAGCUCUGACAUUCUGAUUAUACAUUUGGAUGUGUUCCUUUGCCUAGUUCUUGCCACAUAGCAUAACAAUGAUCCAAAUGUCCAUCCUUCCUUGUACUUUGUUCAGGAAUAAAAUAUGAGGCCAUGGCAACCUGCUCUUGAUGGUGCUAUAUAAAACCAGACUGGCUCAAUUAAGAGAGGCAGUGCUAUGCCCUCAUUCAUAAAAUGGGUAUAGAGUGAUGCCUAUGUGUCUCCCUUUGGAGAAGCAAAUGACCUGGAAAUGGAAAUACUCUUUCAGCAUGCAGCAGGAUGGGCUAGGAGCCCACAAGAGUUAAGAGCUUAGAAAUACCUCUUCGGAGUUGUCCCACAUUGACACCCAGAUCACUCUUUGCAAAGCACUUGCCUAUCCACUCUAACUUCUCUAGAAGCAAGCGGAGUGCUCAGUCAUUGCUGGUGGGGACUCAAUACGAUACUGUCACUUUGGAAAACAGUUCAACAGCUUUUUAUAGAAUCAAACAUAGUCUUAUGAUCUGGCAAACCCACUUCUAGGUAUUGAGACCCAGGAGAAAGGAAAAGUUAAGUUCAUACAAAACCUGUGAGCCCAUGUUUACAGCAGCUUUAUUCAUAUUUCCACAAACUAGAAACAAACCAACUGAUGCAAACUGUGGUGUACCCAUACCAACUACUGAUACACUCAACAAUGUGGAUACAUCUCAAAUACCUUACACUAAGUUAAAGAUGCCAGACUUAAAAGGUAACAUACUGCAUAAUUCCAUUUAUAUUACAUUUUGGAAAAGGCAACACAAUAGGGAUGAAGAGCAGCUCAGUGGUUCCUGGAUUGGGGAAGCCGAAGUGAAGGGCAGGAGGAUACUCUGAGCCCAAAAGGGCUGUACAAAGUAGUGUUUUUGAGUGAUGGAACUGUUCUAAAUCUUGUCUGUAGUGGUAGGUACAUGACUUCAUGAAUUUGUCAAACUCAGAGAACUAUAUACUGAAAGAGUGGAUUUUACUCUAUGCAAAUUAAAAAAUAAAUUUUAAAAGCCCUGAAGGCUUGGUGGUGAAUGUGAUGGUUGUUCGAGGUUGGCUCCCACCCCCAUAUUCAUUUUGUCCUACAGGGAUUCUCAUUAACCUAAUCAAGGCAUGGCGUUUCCUGGUGACAGCUACUGCUCCACAGAGGUGGCCCUCGAAAGCCAAAGGAAGGAUAUAAAUUACAUGGGUCAAUGAAAAGUUUUUCAUUUAUUCUUUUUUCCUAUUGGGUGUAGACAAAGAAGCAAGCAGUUCUACUGACCACUUGUGGCCCUCUUGAAAUCAUGAGACAAAACACCUUAAGGAUGAGAAUACAGAGCUAAGAGUGAGAGGGCAGAGGAAAGUGAGUUUCUGUUUGUAUAACAGAACCAGGAUUCACCACUAGAUAAUUUCCUUAAGCCAGUGUGAGUAGAGGACUGUAUUACUUGCCGUCAAAACAUCCUAGGAAAUGCAAUACUAGGAUCUCCUUGAUACACUUCUGCUCUGAUCCAUGACCCCAAGGCAAGUUGAAACAAACUGGGCAGUAAAAAAUGCACAUGAAACAAAAGGACACAUACAUCUAGCAGAAAAUGGGAAAAGGACUUGAACAGGUACCUUGGGACUAAGGAAACCCAAAUGAUCAGAAACAAAUCAAAAGGUACUCAGAUCUCCUUAGCCAUCUUGGAAAUGCAAAUUAAAUACUCUGAGACAGCAAACACAACCAUUAAAUUAGGAAACAUUAAAAAGAAGGGGGAAAAAAAGCUAAUAAUAUCACAUGCUCACAACAAUGGAAUACGAUGGGGACAUUUAAAAACUGCUGUGGGAGUGAAAAUUGACAUAAUCACUUUGGGAAACAAGUGGGAGUUGCAGAUACACAUACUUUAUGACCAAGCAAGCUCACCCCUACAUAUAUGUACAGCAGACAAACCCUCUCACAUGUGCACAACACAUGAAUAAGUGCAUUCACUGUGACUUUUUUUCAUGACAGACAAAAAAACUGGGAAAAAAAGGAAAACCUAUUAGAUUGCAAUAUAUUCAUUGUCAGCAGCUUUGAAAAUGACCAAAUGCAUGCAUCCAUGUGGUGAAAUUUUACAAACAGAAUGCUGAGUGAAUGAAACAAGAUACCAAAUAAUUCACUCUGUGUGCUUUCAUUUAUGUAGUUUAAAUACAGGCCCAGGGACUGGCACCUAAGCGUUAAACUACAAAGCAAGAUGAUAAUGUGGCCACUAUCAAGGCCGAGAAAGUGAUGGCUGUCUGGAAAGGGAACUGGGAUUGGGAAGAUCAGGGGGGCUUCUGGUGAUUAAGUGGUGGUGAUGCAGAAGUUGGCCUUAUCAUUAUAAUUUCAACUCUACACAUAUGAUUUACACAUUUUUCUACAUUUUUAAUAUAUCUCACACACAGAAACAUAGGAAGUCAAAAAUCAGAUCCCAGAGAAAUGCCAAAAACCAGGAAGAAGCCAGGAAUGUGGAAUCACCGACUCUGAGUGAGGAAUGCGGGAAGAUUGGCCCCAAAGACUGUUUAUUUCUUUGCCAUUUAUUCCAGCCAGAGGCCUUUUAAAAGUAUCUGCAUCUUAAGUAGAAACUGUAUCCUUUGAAAAGUAUCAAUUCUCUUUUAAAUUUCCCAUAAGUGUUAAUCUUACAGAGUGCUCUUACUGGGUCAUUACAGUUUAGAUCAGAAUCUGUUCCUUACAAGAGUCUACAAAGACUUAAGACUGAAGUCCUAUCCAACUGCUCCUAUUUGCCUAGAGAUCUUUCAUUUAAAAAAUUCAAUCAUCAGAGCAGAAAUGCAGGGAGCCACACCCAAUGCCUCUUGAGUAAGUAAAAUACAUACUGUAGCAUCCAGGUAUAAACUUCAUGCAGUUUCCUUGUAGAAAAUACCUUCAUGCUCUUUUUUGAGCCUAUUCACUCUAUUUUAAAUAUAAAUUUAACAUGCUCAGAAGGCUGUUUCCAAGAAUACAUCAGUUUAGGAAGGCAACAAGUAAGAAGCUGACACUGAGUUAGAAACAGACAGGAAAACAUUUCAACACUCCUUGGCUUCUGGAGGCAUUUAUUGUAGGGACAGCAAUGAAAUACUAAAUUAGAAAUUGACUGGAACCCCUUUUAAAAAAAUCAGGAAUGUGUGCAGUGCAUAAUAAAUGAUUACCAUCAAAUGUUUAGCAAAUCUUAUCCUUCAGAAAAUUAAGUUUUAUAGAUAUUUUCCUGUAAAGAAGUCAUUCUGGGAGAAUGCUAGAGAUAUUACAGUAGUCCCCUUUAUCUGUGGUUUUUGCUUUCCAUGGUUUCAGUACCCCGUGGCAACUGCAGUCUGGAAGCAGAUGAUCCUCCUUCUGACCUAUGGUCCAAAGGUCAACAGUAUCAAAUGUUACAUCACAAUGCCUAGUCAUUCGCAGUCUUUAUCUUGUCAUAUAGGCAUUUUAUCUCUCACAUCUUCACAAGCAGAAGGGUGAUUGCAGUAAAAUAAGACAUUUUGAGAUAGAACAUUUGUACAAUUUUUAUUACAGUAUACUAUUAUAAUCAUUCUAUUUUAUCACGUUAUUGUGGUUAAUCUCUUACUGUGCCUAAUUGAUAAAGUAAGUUUUAUCACAGGUAUGUGUGUUUAGUAUAAAUAGGAUUUGGUCCUAACUAGUUUCAGGCAUCCACUGGUGGUCUUAGAAUAUACCCACAGAUAAAGGGGGAUAGAUAUAAUCUAAGUCCCUGUAAGCUAUGUGUACAUAGAUACACACACACACACACACACAUAUAUAUACACACACACAUACAUAUACACAUAACUAUAUGUUCAUGCACAUAGCUGUAUAUUGGGAAAUAUUCUAUAGUGUUAGUGUGUGUGUGUGUGUGUGUGUGUGUGUGUGUGUGUAUCCCAUUAAAUAAUUCAGGAUUUGGAAGGAAUUCACCUUGAUAGCUGAACAAUUGUGGAAUAGCUCCAUCCUCAGAACAAAAUGACCUUUUCAUCAAGCUACAAAACAUUAAAGGUUAAAGAAUGUUUGAAAGGAAGUUAAUACUUUUAAAACAUUGGGGAAAUUGCCAUCCUUUCAAACUGAGAGGGAAGUGCCCAAUGGCACAUAUGAGCACUGUUGUUGGGAGGUGCCAUACAUUUGCAUUGCCUGCUGCAUUCAAAACUAUGAAUGAACCCACCUCAGCAGGCAA